rnacentral:tRNA from 3 species
GCGGAUAUAUAUUAAUGGUAAAUGAUCUGCCUUCCAAGCAGAAGAUAUGAGUUCAAUUCUCAUUAUCCGCA